GUUAGCCUAGUGGUUAAGGCUUUGGAUUUCCAGUCCGGAGACGGCGGGUUCGAAUUCCGUAC
rfam:Aedes albopictus isolate Foshan contig116591, whole genome shotgun sequence.